rnacentral:misc_RNA from 1 species
UGAGGUCAUGCAUGGAAAGCCAGAGUACACAGACCCACUUACUCAUGAGCUUAAGCAUCAUCCUGGCCAGAUUGAAGCAGCUGCUAUCAUGAAACACCUGUUAGAUGAAAGUGACUACAUGAAAGAAGCAAAAAUUCGCCAUGAGAAAGACCCGCUUACAAAGCCUAAACAGGACAGAUAUGCAAUUAGAACCUCUCCACAGUGGCUGGGUCCACAAAUUGAGGUUAUUCGGGCAGCCACUCAUUCAAUUGAGAGGGAGAUCAAUUCUGUCAACGAUAAUCCAUUGAUUGAUGUAGCUCGAGACCUUGCCCUUCAUGGAGGAAAUUUCCAAGGAACACCAAUUGGUGUUUCUAUGGACAAUCUCAGGAUUGCCAUUGCAGCAAUUGGAAAGCUCAUGUUUGCUCAGUUCUCUGAACUCGUUUGCGACUACUACAACAAUGGGUUGCCUUCCAAUUUGAGCGGAGGACCUAAUCCAAGCUUGGACUAUGGAUUAAAAGGUGCAGAAAUAGCGAUGGCCGCAUAUUGCUCAGAGCUUCAGUACUUGGCAAAUCCUGUAACUACUCAUGUUCAAAGUGCUGAACAGCACAAUCAAGAUGUGAACUCUCUAGGCUUGAUUUCGGCAAGAAAAAGCGCUGAAGCCAUUGAAAUCCUGAAGCUUAUGUCCGCGACUUUCAUG